rnacentral:rRNA from 1 species
CCUACGGGAGGCUGCAGUGGGGAAUAUUGGACAAUGGGCGAAAGCCUGAUCCAGCCAUGCCGCGUGUGUGAAGAAGGCCUUCGGGUUGUAAAGCACUUUCAGUGGGGAAGAAAGCCUUGGGGCUAAUACCCUCGAGGAAGGACAUCACCCACAGAAGAAGCACCGGCUAACUCCAUGCCAGCAGCCGCGGUAAUACGGAGGGUGCGAGCGUUAAUCGGAAUUACUGGGCGUAAAGCGCGCGUAGGCGGUCUGAUAAGCCGGUUGUGAAAGCCCCGGGCUCAACCUGGGAACGGCAUCCGGAACUGUCAGGCUAGAGUGCAGGAGAGGAAGGUAGAAUUCCCGGUGUAGCGGUGAAAUGCGUAGAGAUCGGGAGGAAUACCAGUGGCGAAGGCGGCCUUCUGGACUGACACUGACGCUGAGGUGCGAAAGCGUGGGUAGCAAACAGGAUUAGAUACCCCUGUAGU